AACGAACGCUGGCGGCAUGCCUAACACAUGCAAGUCGAACGAGACCUUCGGGUCUAGUGGCGCACGGGUGCGUAACGCGUGGGAACCUGCCCUUAGGUUCGGAAUAACUCCCCGAAAGGGGUGCUAAUACCGGAUAAUGUCUUCGGACCAAAGAUUUAUCGCCUUUGGAUGGGCCCGCGUUGGAUUAGCUAGUUGGUAGGGUAAAAGCCUACCAAGGCGACGAUCCAUAGCUGGUCUGAGAGGAUGAUCAGCCACACUGGGACUGAGACACGGCCCAGACUCCUACGGGAAGGAGCAGUGGGGAAUAUUGGACAAGGGGCGAAAGCCUGAUACAGCAAUGCCGCGUGAGUGAUGAAGGCCUUAGGGUUGUAAAGCUCUUUUACCCGGGAUGAUAAUGACAGUACCGGGAGAAUAAGCUCCGGCUAACUCCGUG
rnacentral:rRNA from 1 species